UAUAGAUAUUCUCAUCAGAUGAGUAGGAAGUCCCAGGAACUUGGAUGCGAGUAUGAUUGGUUGUAUGGAAGUGUGCAGGUAAUAGAGAAAAGUGAUGUUGGUUAGAAAGUAAGAGUAAAAUUCUAAGUGUCAAGGAGUGUUUCUUGAGUUGUGUCCAAGAGAGUUUGAGGGUUAGUGCCAGAGUGUCCUGGAUCUCUCUGCAUGUCCGAAUCUGAAUGCCCAAAACUCUACUAACUAACCUCUCUCUUCCCUUUGUCCUAACUUUUAAAGGGCCAGACUCUCUGUACGUCAUUAGUUGAUAAGGCCAAUAGGAAACUGAAGGUGUGAUCAACCUGCAGAUUGCAAUUUAGGUAUUUGAUCCAUAGAGGGCAGUCUCGCCUCAGUAAAC